GACGAACGCUGGCGGCGUGCUUAACACAUGCAAGUCGAACGGAAAGGCCCUGCUUGCAGGGUACUCGAGUGGCGAACGGGUGAGUAACACGUGGGAGCUUUGCCCGGCGCGUCGGGUUAAGCCUGGGAAACCGGGUCUAAAACCCGUUAGGAGUCAGUGUUAGUGUGAUGGUCGGAAAGUUUUUUCGGUGUAGGAUGAGCUCGCGGCCUAUUAGCUUGUUGGUGGGGUAAAGGCCUACCAAGGCGGCGACCGGUAGCCGGCCUGAGAGGGUGGACCGCGACAUUGGGGCUGAGAGCAGGCACCGGUUCCUAAGGGAGGAAGCAGGGGGGAAUAUUGCACAAUGGGCGCAAGCCUGAUGCAGCGGCGCUGCGUGGGGGAUGACGGCCUUCGGGUUGUAAACUUCUUUCGCGAGGGACGAAGCUGUAUGUGACGGUACCUAGAUAAGAAGCACCGGCUAACUACGUG
rnacentral:rRNA from 1 species